rnacentral:rRNA from 1 species
UACGGAGGGUGCAAGCGUUAUCCGGAUUCACUGGGUUUAAAGGGAGCGUAGGUGGGCUGGUAAGUCAGUGGUGAAAUCUCCGAGCUUAACUCGGAAAUUGCCGUUGAUACUAUUAGUCUUGAAUAUUGUGGAGGUUAGCGGAAUAUGUCAUGUAGCGGUGAAAUGCUUAGAUAUGACAUGGAACACCAAUUGCGAAGGCAGCUGGCUACGCAUAUAUUGACACUGAGGCUCGAAAGCGUGGGGAUCAAACAGGAUUAGAAACCCGCGUAGUCC